rnacentral:rRNA from 1 species
UAGGGAAUCUUCGGCAAUGGACGGAAGUCUGACCGAGCAACGCCGCGUGAGUGAAGAAGGUUUUCGGAUCGUAAAGCUCUGUUGUAAGGGAAGAACGGGUGUGAGAGUGGAAAGUUCACACUGUGACGGUAUCUUACCAGAAAGGGACGGCUAACUACGUGCCAGCAGCCGCGGUAAUACGUAGGUCCCGAGCGUUGUCCGGAUUUAUUGGGCGUAAAGCGAGCGCAGGCGGUUAGAUAAGUCUGAAGUUAAAGGCUGUGGCUUAACCAUAGUACGCUUUGGAAACUGUUUAACUUGAGUGCAAGAGGGGAGAGUGGAAUUCCAUGUGUAGCGGUGAAAUGCGUAGAUAUAUGGAGGAACACCGGUGGCGAAAGCGGCUCUCUGGCUUGUAACUGACGCUGAGGCUCGAAAGCGUGGGGAGCAAACAGGAUUAGAUACCCUGGUAGUCCACGCCGUAAACGAUGAGUGCUAGGUGUUAGACCCUUUCCGGGGUUUAGUGCCGCAGCUAACGCAUUAAGCACUCCGCCUGGGGAGUACGACCGCAAGGUUG